UACUAGCGGUCCAAGUCGCAGCCAUUUUUAUUGGGUCUAAAACAUCCGUAGCUUGCUUGGUAAGUUCCUUGUGAAAUCCUAUCCCUCAAAGAUAGGGCGGGCAAGAAGUACUACCAAGCUAGAGACUGGAAGACGUGAGGAGUACGUUCGAAGUAGCGGUAAAAUGUGUUAAUCUCGGACGGACUCACAAUUAGCGAAGGCACCUCACGAGGACAGUUCUGACAGUAAGGGAUGAAGGCUAGGGGCGCAAAACGGAUUAGAUACCCCCGUA
rnacentral:rRNA from 1 species